GACGAACGCUGGCGGCGUGCUUAACACAUGCAAGUCGAACGAAGUGGCGAACGGGUGAGUAACGCGUAAUCAACCUGCCCUUCAGAGGGGGACAACAGUUGGAAACGACUGCUAAUACCGCAUACUGAAGGAGGGGAUUGCGUAUGAUUAGCUAGUUGGAGGGGUAACGGCCCACCAAGGCGAUGAUCAGUAGCCGGUCGGCGAGGAGGACAGGCCACAUUGGGACUGAGACACGGCCCAGACUCCUACGGGAGGCAGCAGUGGGUAAUCUUCCGCAAUGGACGCAAGUCUGACGGAGCAACGCCGCGUGAGUGAUGACGGCCUUCGGGUGGUAAAGCUCUGUUAAUCGGUACGCGGUACCGGAAUAGAAAGCCACGGCUAACUACGUGCCAGCAGCCGCGGUAAUUC
rnacentral:rRNA from 1 species